CAGGCUGGUAUGGCCGUAAGCCAAGCUUACAGGACCUGGUAUUCCCAGGCGGUCUCCCAUCCAAGUACUGACCAGGCCCGACCCUGCUUAGCUUCCGAGAUCGGACGAGAUCGGGCGUA
rnacentral:rRNA from 1 species